GGGGGGCUUACUGCUGUUAAUGGUACUGAUUGGGGUCAUCUACUGGAGAUACAGAGCUAAAAGACAAGGGCAGAUGGAGGACGGUGAGAGAAAACCAGAAUGGAGAAGAGAUCAGGAGACACAGGAAAUAUCAAGAGAGCAAUGGACCACGCAGCCAACUCCCCAAGCUGAGUGAAGCCAAUGCAGGCGUCGAGACCGUAAACAAAGACGGGGAAGGUGAGGCAGACUAUGGGCUAAGCUAAGGUUUAUCCCGCACCGGACUUUGGUUCCCAGCAUUUUUCUCGCCAAUGUUCAAACAAAAUGGAUGAACUGCGACUCUGAGCUACUACACACAGAUGGAUCAGAGAGUGUGACAUUAUGGUUCUUACGGAGACGUGAUUGAACGGGGAUUUCCCGAGCGGUGCACUGAAGCUGGAGGGAUGCAGUGUGUUCAGUGUGGACAGAGUGGCUGAGGACUCCGAGCACACAGUUGUAUCGUUACCACAGCCUACAUCCCUCCUGAUGCUAAUGCUAAGCUAUCUAUGUACAGCAAUUGACAAACAACAAACUGCACAC